UCUUCUUCUUCUUCUUCUUCUUCUUCUUCUUCUACUUCUUCUUCUUCUUCUUCUUCUUCUUCUUCUACUUCUUCUUCUCCUCCUUCUCCACACAGUUUGUUCAGGAUGUGAGUGGGAGGGAACAUUCAGUAUAACUUAAUGUGGACAUAUAAACUAAGACUAAUUUACGUUAGUUACUCAGGUUAACACAAGUGAUAAGUUUAAUUGUAAUUUAACACAUCUCUUCUGUUAAUAUGCAUCUAUGGAUCAAUUUAUUUCACUACAUGCGACUAAUACAGCAGUUGUAUCGUAUUGCAUGAGUGUAUAAAUUCUCUUCCCCGGGUUUUAACUAUUCAACCAUUCGGCACACAAACAUUUAGUCUCUCGGUAACACUUCCAGAAUACUCCGCCAGGUUAUAUUAUAUCUGUCAAAGCUGGGAUGAUAUUGCGUUCUCUUAGUGUAAUAUAUAUUUAUCUUAAACAUAUAUACAUAGUUCAAGCAUGUAUACAUAGUUCAAGCAUGUAUACAUAGUUCAAGCAUGUAUACAUAGUUCAAGCAUGUAUACAUAGUUCAAGCAUGUAUACAUAGUUCAAGCAUGUAUACAUAGUUCAAGCAUGUAUACAUAGUUCAAGCAUGUAUUCCGUUGGGUAACUUGGUAUGCUGAAUUUUAUUUGUUUUGUAACGACAUGUACUUACCAUCAUUUCAACAAUUUACAUUUUAUUUUUUUUUUUACACACUGAUAGACACUACAAGCUACAAGCAGUGAUCUCAUUCUGAUAUCCGAACUCCGACUCCAUGAACCCGAGACACCAGCUUGUAAGUCCGGGAUUGUGUAGCGUUAGGGUUAAGUUAGGUUAAAAGCUUUGACUCCUCAUAGAUAAGUCACCACCACACCUUCACACGAUACUUUGUUGUCAUCUGCUUGUAUAUGUGUGGUGGAUGAUGGUAGAGGCGAGCAACAACCAAACGAGGCUCGGUAAAGGAGGGAUUAUAUCGACAUGUUGUGUUACUUAUUAUUCUCUUUUGUUUUGGAGUAAAUCUCUGCCAUUUCAGUAUUUUUUUCUUUUUAUUUUAAUCACUCUUCUUCGGCUGUCACACUGGAUAUUGAAACUCAGAAUUGGAGUUUAGAGAGUGUGGAGGUGGUGUUGGUGUUGGAGGGAGAUCAGGUGGUGGUGAUGGUGUUGAUGAUGGAGGUGUUGAUGGUGGUGCUGGAGGUGGUAGUGGUGGUGAGGUGGGUCGGACCUUUUAUCAGAGUGAAGUAUGAACCGACCUCUCAGAAUAAUAAUAAAUAUAAAGAAAAUAAAAGUCCCAAAGCAACAAUUCUGGAUCAACUUGAGGAAACAUUAAAUAAAAACAACAAUUUAUAAGACUUGUGGGGUUUAUCAUUUUAUCUGUUUUGUGAAUUAUAAAAAAAAAAUAACUUAAAAAAAUCACAUUCUCGAUAUCUUGGAGAAAAUAUACAUAAGUGAAUAAAAUACAGGAAUUACAGAAGAUUAUUACAGGUAUCAAGAAAGAUUGGUUAAAGACAGCCUGGGGAAAAAAAAUGUGGUGGGCUGUGGUGGCCAUCCCUCAGACCUAAAUAUGACCACCUGGAUUAAUUGGACAGGUACUAUACUACUACUACUACUACUAUUAACUAUCAAGACAUACCAAUAUCUAUUCUUUUUUGCUGUAAAUAAAACAUCACAGUUUCAACUUUAUAUUAGGUUUGUGAUAGGAGUUCCGUUCACUGUAAUCUAUAAAUACAGUACCAUUCUGGAUUCACCAAAUCAAAUACAAACAUCACUAUACAUAUUUAUACAUAAUCAGCACUCCAUGUAUUGUGUAUUAUCAUCUAUUACAGUGAACAAGUUUUAAAAAUUUAUUCGUCUUUUGCUGAUGAUUAUUACAGUAUGUGUGUGUUUUUCAUUUCAGGAUAGACUAAUUAUAUUUUAAAACAAA